GGACGAACGCUGGCGGCGUGCUUAACACAUGCAAGUUGAACGGGCAUACAUGGAAGCUUGCUGAAGUGUAUGUUAGUAGCGGACGGGUGAGUAAUGCAUGAGAAGCUGCCAUUGGGAGGGGGACAACAGUUGGAAACGGCUGCUAAUACCCCGUAUGCCGAAAGGUAAAAGGGAGCAAUCCGCCUGAUGAGGUGCUCAUGUCCUAUCAGCUGGUUGGUGGGGUAACGGCCUACCAAGGCGACGACGGGUAGCCGGCCUGAGAGGGUGAACGGCCACACUGGAACUGAGAUACGGUCCAGACUCCUACGGGAGGCAGCAGUGGGGAAUAUUAGUAAUGGGCGAAAGCCUGAACUAGCAACGCCGCGUGUGCGAAGAAGGCCUUCGGGUCGUAAAGCACUUUUUGAGAGGAUGAGGAAGGACGGUACUCUCAGAAUAAGUCUCGGCUAACUACGUGCCAGCAGCCGCGGUAACACGUAGGAGGCAAACGUUAUCCGGAUUUACUGGGCGUAAAGCGCGUGUAGGUGGUUUGGUAAGUAGGGCGUGAAAGCUCCUGGCUCAACUGGGAGAGGACGUUCUAAACUGCCAAGCUUGAGGAUGGUAGAGGGAGGUGGAAUUCCGGGUGUAGCGGUGGAAUGCGCAGAUAUCCGGAGGAACACCAGUGGCGAAGGCGGCCUCCUGGACCACUCCUGACACUCAGACGCGAAAGCUAGGGUAGCAAACGGGAUUAGAGACCCCGGUAGUCCUAGCCCUAAACGAUGUAGACUUGGCGUCGGUGGUUUAAUCGCCAUCGGUGUCGUAGCUAACGCGAUAAGUCUACCGCCUGGGGACUACGGCCGCAAGGUUAAAACUCAAAGGAAUUGACGGGUCCCCGCACAAGCAGCGGAGCGUGUGGUUUAAUUCGAUGCUACACGAAGAACCUUACCUGGGUUUGACAUAGAGGUAGUAGGGAAGCGAAAGCGGACCGACCCUUCGGGGAGCCUCUACAGGUGUUGCAUGGCUGUCGUCAGCUCGUGUCGUGAGAUGUUCGGUUAAGUCCGCUAACGAGCGCAACCCUCGCUGUGUGUUACAAGUGUCACACGGUACUGCCGAUAUUAAGUCGGAGGAAGGUGGGGAUGACGUCAAGUCAGCAUGACCUUUAUAUCCAGGGCUACACACACGCUACAAUGGCCAGUACAAUGGGUUGCCAAGCCGCGAGGCGGAGCCAAUCCUAAAAAGCUGGCCUCAGUUCAGAUUGCAGUCUGCAACUCGACUGCAUGAAGUUGGAGUUGCUAGUAACCGCAGGUCAGCAAUACUGCGGUGAAUACGUUCCCGGGGAU
rnacentral:rRNA from 1 species